rnacentral:rRNA from 1 species
GAUGAACGCUGGCGGCGUGCUUAACACAUGCAAGUCGAACGGUGAAGCCCAGCUUGCUGGGUGGAUUAGUGGCGAACGAGUGAGUAACACGUGAGUAACCUGCCCUUAACCCUGGGAUAAGCCUGGGAAACUGGGUCUAAUACCGGAUAGGAGCGCCUACCGCAUGGUGGGUGUUGGAAAGAUUUAUCGGUUUUGGAUGGACUCGCGGCCUAUCAGCUUGUUGGUGAGGUAAUGGCUCACCAAGGCGACGACGGGUAGCCGGCCUGAGAGGGUGACCGGCCACACUGGGACUGAGACACGGCCCAGACUCCUACGGGAGGCAGCAGUGGGGAAUAUUGCACAAUGGGCGCAAGCCUGAUGCAGCGACGCCGCGUGAGGGAUGACGGCCUUCGGGUUGUAAACCUCUUUCAGUAGGGAAGAAGCGAAAGUGACGGUACCUGCAGAAGAAGCACCGGCUAACUACGUGCCAGCAACCGCGGUAAUACGUAGGGUGCGAGCGUUAUCCGGAAUUAUUGGGCGUAAAGAGCUCGUAGGCGGUUUGUCGCGUCUGUCGUGAAAGUCCGGGGCUUAACCCCGGAUCUGCGGUGGGUACGGGCAGACUAGAGUGCAGUAGGGGAGACUGGAAUUCCUGGUGUAGCGGUGGAAUGCGCAGAUAUCAGGAGGAACACCGAUGGCGAAGGCAGGUCUCUGGGCUGUGACUGACGCUGAGGAGCGAAAGCAUGGGGAGCGAACAGGAUUAGAUACCCUGGUAGUCCAUGCCGUAAACGUUGGGCACUAGGUGUGGGGACCAUUCCACGGUUUCCGCGCCGCAGCUAACGCAUUAAGUGCCCCGCCUGGGGAGUACGGCCGCAAGGCUAAAACUCAAAGGAAUUGACGGGGGCCCGCACAAGCGGCGGAGCAUGCGGAUUAAUUCGAUGCAACGCGAAGAACCUUACCAAGGCUUGACAUGUUCUCGAUCGCCGUAGAGAUACGGUUUCCCCUUUGGGGCGGGUUCACAGGUGGUGCAUGGUUGUCGUCAGCUCGUGUCGUGAGAUGUUGGGUUAAGUCCCGCAACGAGCGCAACCCUCGUUCCAUGUUGCCAGCACGUAAUGGUGGGGACUCAUGGGAGACUGCCGGGGUCAACUCGGAGGAAGGUGAGGACGACGUCAAAUCAUCAUGCCCCUUAUGUCUUGGGCUUCACGCAUGCUACAAUGGCCGGUACAAUGGGUUGCGAUACUGUGAGGUGGAGCUAAUCCCAAAAAGCCGGUCUCAGUUCGGAUUGGGGUCUGCAACUCGACCCCAUGAAGUCGGAGUCGCUAGUAAUCGCAGAUCAGCAACGCUGCGGUGAAUACGUUCCCGGGCCU